rnacentral:rRNA from 1 species
CAGUCGCCGCGGGAAAACGUAGGUGGCAAGCGUUGUCCGGAAUUAUUGGGCGUAAAGGGCUCGCAGGCAGUUUCUUAAGUCUGAUGUGAAAGCCCCCGGCUCAACCGGGGAGGGUCAUUGGAAACUGGGAAACUUGAGUGCAGAAGAGGAGAGUGGAAUUCCACGUGUAGCGGUGAAAUGCGUAGAGAUGUGGAGGAACACCAGUGGCGAAGGCGACUCUCUGGUCUGUAACUGACGCUGAGGAGCGAAAGCGUGGGGAGCGAACAGGAUUAGAGACCCCGGUAGUCCCUGUCUCUUAUAC